UGAGGAAUAUUGCGCAAUGGGCGAAAGCCUGACGCAGCGACGCCGCGUGGAGGAUGAAGGUCUUCGGAUUGUAAACUCCUGUCGUGCGGGACGAAUGCCUCGGUCGUGAAUAACGGUCGGGGUUGACGGUACCGCAGGAGGAAGCCCCGGCUAACUCCGUGCCAGCAGCCGCGGUAAUACGGAGGGGGCCAGCGUUGUUCGGAAUCAUUGGGCGUAAAGGGCGCGUAGGCGGCCGAUCAAGUCGAACGUGAAAUCUCCCGGCUCAACCGGGAACCUGCGUCCGAUACUGCUCGGCUCGAGUCCCGGAGAGGGUAGUGGAAUUCCCAGUGUAGCGGUGAAAUGCGUAGAUACUGGGAGGAACACCGGUGGCGAAGGCGGCUACCUGGACGGGUACUGACGCUGAGGCGCGAGAGCUGGGGGAGCAAACAGG
rnacentral:rRNA from 1 species